UACGGGGGGGGCAAGCGUUGUUCGGCAUUAUUGGGCGUAAAGGGCGCGUAGGCGGUGCGGCAAGUCUCCUGUGAAAACUCCGGGCUCAACUCGGAGCCUGCAGGAGAAACUGCCGUGCUUGAGUGUGGGAGAGGUGAGUGGAAUUCCCGGUGUAGCGGUGAAAUGCGUAGAUAUCGGGAGGAGCACCUGUGGCGAAAGCGGCUCACUGGACCACAACUGACGCUGAGGCGCGAAAGCUAGGGGAGCAAACAGG
rnacentral:rRNA from 1 species